ensembl:lncRNA
UGACAGAUCACCAUAGCAAAAGCAGCAGGAGCAAAGACACUCAGCAACAUGGUGGUUGGAACAUCUAGCACCAGAAUUUCAUACCAGAGAGCAGCAAGGUAAGCAGAACAGAAAGCAGUGAGAAAGGACCCCAGAUGAGGGACUCAAGGACAUUCAUCUUGGGCUCUGCAGCAAUCAAAAACUCUUGUCAUAUUCCUGCUUCCUUGGCAAAUAAACACAAGAGCAAGACCAAAAAGUGCCAGAUACUAGGACACCCACCAAAAUCAGCUCACUCCAUCCUGAUCCUCUAGCAGAUUAUCAUGUUUCUGGCCAGUCAAUGAGAAGAAAUAAUUGAAGACUGAAGCAAACUAAAAAUAAGUGAAUAAAUGAUAAUGAAAAAGAGCAAACAGAUUAUUAAAUAAAAAAGUAACGAUUAUGAAGAUAAAUCUAACUUCUGGCUAAGCCCUAUCAAAAAAAAAAGAUGAGGAAACUGAGGCAAAGUAUUAAAUAACUUGCUCAUACAACUAACCUCUGAUUUUAAUACCACAGCAGACUCCUGGGGAAAUUCUCUGGGGAAAACAAUCAGCAACUGUUCUGCAACUUCGGGACUACAUUGAAUUACUCAAUGGCUUGCCCAGGAUCAUACAGACAAAUGUUAAUAUUCCCAAACUUAUCUAUAGUUUGUGUUCUCUCCUGUAUCAUUGAUAUUCUAAUCAUUUCUCCAUCUUGUAACCCAAAAGAAUUACUCAUUCACUUGUGGAGUAAAUAAGCACUUUAAAACAGGAAAAGAGAAAUUACAAUGUGGGUUUUUAAAUUUCUGAGUGGCACUCUGAUCCUGGUAAGGAUUGAAAUCUCAAUUUUCCCCCAGUGCUCUUCUGAUCAAAUAUACACUGUCAUGUUCAAAUCCUUUUAUUUAUUUUUGGGGGGAGGAGGCUAGAGAAAUACAGAAUGGAAACGAUUCAUCAUAACUCCACAUUCAAAAUCUCAUAGAGAAAGGAAGAAAUAAUAUUAGUAUCAUCCAGAUUCAGAUCAUCUAAACUAGAUGAAGGUCCUUGCUUCUAUCUCUAGUAGUAAUUACUUUCAUUCCAAAUCAGAAGUUAAGUCUAUCACCAAACACAAGUUACUUAGGGAAUGUAUUCUGGAUGGUCUCAUAUCUUUUCUCUCAGAUCUACAACAUUUUUCUUUGCCAUUCCCACUAGCCAAGCUUCUUAGAGAACACCAAGAACUUAAAAGUUGGUAGUUCUACAUCCAGCCAUUCUGGAGAGCAAUUUGGAACUAUGCUCAAAAAGUUAUCAAACUCUGCAUACCCUUUGAUCCAGCAGUGUUUCUACUGGGCUUAUACCCCAAAGAGAUACCAAAGAAGGGAAAGGGACCUGUAUGUGCACGAAUGUUUGUGGCAGCCCUCUUUGUAGUGGCUAGAAGCUGGAAAAUGAAUGAAUGCCCAUCAAUUGGAGAAUGGUUGGGUAAAUUGUGGUAUAUGAAUGUUAUAGAAUAUUAUUGUUCUGUAAGACAUGACCAGCAGAAUGAAUACAGAGAGGAUUGGAGAGACUUACAUGAACUGAUGCUAAGUGAAAUGAGCUGAACCAGGAGAUCAUUAUAUACUUCAACAACGAUACUGUAUGAAGAUGUAUUCUGAUGGAAGUGGAUUUCUUUGACAGAGACCUAAAGGUUUCAAUUGAUCAAGGAUGGACAGAAGCAGCUACACCCAAAGAAAGAACACUGGAAAAUGAAUGUAAACUGUUUGCAUUUUUGUUUCUCUUCCCGGGUUAUUUCUACCGUCUGAAUCCAAUUCUCUCUGUGCAACAAGAGAACUGUUCGGUUCUGCACACAUAUAUUGUAUCUAGGAUAUACUGUAACCUCUUUAACAUAUAUAGGACUGCUUGCCAUCUGGGGGAGGGGAUAGAAGGAGGGAGGGGAAAAAUCGGAACAGAAGUGAGUGCAAGGGAUAAUGUUGUAAAAAAUUACCCUGGCAUGGGUUCUGUCAAUAAAAAGUUAUUAAAUUAAAAAAAAAAAAGUUGGUACUUCUGACCCAUGAACGCCUUAAGAAAGGAAAAUCUGCAUAGAUCAGGAGUUUUUAAUUUGCAGCAAAUUAAUUAUUUUUUUUUCAUUUUGAUAACUGUAUUUCAAUAUAAUUGUUUUCUUCUGUAACAUGAUACAUUUUAUUUUAUGCGUUUAAAAACAUUUUUAUCUUUAUAAGAUUGUAAAAGGGAUCAAUGAAACAAAUAAAACAAAUUGAAAAUCCUUGUCAUAGAUACACA